AGUUAUUAGUUAUUAGUUAACAAAUAUUAUGGCCUCACGUUAACCUCUCUUAUUUCUCUCUUGGAAAAUCAAAAAUGAUCUUAAAAUGUACCAACUAGAUACAAUUUGAUACAUCGGAUUAGGUUUUUUAGGAGAAAUUGUGUACACAGUUUAAAAAAAUAAAAAUCAUUGUAAAACUAAUACAUUCAUCAUUACGCCCUUAAUCAAACAUAUUUAGAAAAAAAUAUUAUUUGUGUUUGUACGUUA